ensembl:lncRNA
UGACAAACAGCAGUCUCUUUUUCUAACAGAUGUAAUGGUAAACACCACCAGGAAAACAGGCUCCUGAUGCUUAUUGUGGAGUAAUACAUGCUGAGCAGGGAUGCCUCAGUGACAGCCCUGUAUUUCUGUUUCAGGCUUUUUUUGUGGAAGAGGUACAUCAGUGAAUCCAUUUAGUUGCACCCUGAUUUUUGUCUUACAAGAAGACACAUCAUCAGAGAAGCUUAAAAACAACACUGAUGCUUUAGCAGCAGCCUCUUGACAAUCCACUUCUGUCAACUGAAGAACAGCGUUUGGAGUAGGAUGACUACAGAUGCUUUACCUCAGUGAGAGUCAAGAACUCAAAUUAUUCUCAUCAGUGGGAGCCUAUUUGAGGAAUUCGACUGUAUGACUGAAACAUCUCCUGGGCUGCUUUUCUAAACAGCACAUCGGAAUAAAAGGUUUCUUUUUUAACUGAAGCUCUGGAAGAAUUUCUGUUCUCAGAGGCCUGUAGAAAAAGUCAGUUCAAAAAUAGAAAAAUAAAUGCAGAGAGACUGCGCAGAAAAGAAGACCUGAAAGAUGGAUGUUUUGUUGUGUUCAUUGUUGCUGAAGUAGGAAAAAAUGUGCAAAAAAAUAAAAAUAUAAACAUAAAAAAUGGC